rnacentral:rRNA from 1 species
CACUCCUGCGGGAGGCAGCAGUAGGGAAUCUUCCACAAUGGGUGCAAACCUGAUGGAGCAAUGCCGCGUGAGUGAAGAAGGUCUUCGGAUCGUAAAGCUCUGUUGUUAGAGAAGAACACGUGCUAGGUAACUACUAGCGCCUUGACGGUAUCUAACCAGAAAGUCACGGCUAACUACGUGCCAGCAGCCGCGGUAAUACGUAGGUGACAAGCGUUGUCCGGAUUUAUUGGGCGUAAAGGGAGCGCAGGCGGUCUGUUUAGUCUAAUGUGAAAGCCCACGGCUUAACCGUGGAACGGCAUUGGAAACUGACAGACUUGAAUGUAGAAGAGGAAAAUGGAAUUCCAAGUGUAGCGGUGGAAUGCGUAGAUAUUUGGAGGAACACCAGUGGCGAAGGCGAUUUUCUGGUCUAACAUUGACGCUGAGGCUCGAAAGCGUGGGGAGCGAACAGGAUUAGAUACCCGUGUAGUCCCAUG